UGCAUUCUGUGCUGUGAUUUAGGCUUGUAU
rnacentral:piRNA from 1 species